GUGCUCACUUCAGCAACACAUAUACUAAAGUUGGAAUGAUACAAAGAAGAUUAGCAUGGCCCCUGCACAAGGAUGACAUACAAAUUUGUGAAGUGUUCCAUAUAUUU